rnacentral:lncRNA from 1 species
GUCUAAACAAAUAAUCAUAUUAAAUAAUGUUAUUUAAAUUUAAAUACUUGAAUGUUCACUUAUUUUAAAAUUCUCCACAUAUAUUUUAGCUGUGACCUACCCUUUAUACCAUUCCUCUGGAAGAUUCCAGCAUUGUUGCCAGCUGAUAUACAGAAUGUUCACUUAUGAUGCAUGGAUGGAGUAACAAAUCCCAUUGAUGCUGAGGAUUGUACAACAGCGUGUCCUGACUUAGUAAGUGGCACCCAGGUGAGAUCCAGCACUGGGGGCACGACUGCAGCCUCUAUCCACAAGAUGCACGUGAGUGUUGGCACCAUCAGAUCUGCUUCGGAUCCCUGGGCAUCGGAAGGAUCCAGAGUACUGGCAGCAGCACUUUUCCCUUGGAGAUUGUGUCAGGGCGCUGGAAGUGGGGGCUGAGGCUGGACUGUUCGAGGUGAGGUAAGGCCAAAGGUAAUUUCAUCAGACACCAGUGGAGCUGGGGAUGGUUCUGUGGUCAGAUGCCUCUUCUCAAAUCGCCCUUCCCUCUCCCUUCAGUGUAUUUGAAGAAACUAAGAAAAAAAGCUUCCGAAGGGCUCUGAAGAGGAUGAUUUGGGCUUUUUUGAGAAAGCAUGUAACUACAGGUCUGUUCCCCGCCGAGGAAGAUGG